rfam:Loxodonta africana unplaced genomic scaffold scaffold_36, whole genome shotgun sequence.
GCCUUGGUGGUUCAGUGGUAGAAUUCUCGCCUUUCGUGCAGAAGACCUGGGUUCAAUUCCUGGCCGAGGCA